rnacentral:rRNA from 1 species
UGAGGAGUAUUGCACAAUGGGCGCAAGCCUGAUGCAGCGACGCCGCGUGUGGGAUGAAGGGGCUACGCCUCGUAAACCACUGUAGCCCGGGACGAAAAACGCCUUAGAGGCGUUAGACGGUACCGGGAAAGUAAGGGUCGGCUAACUACGUGCCAGCAGCCGCGGUAAUACGUAGGACCCAAGCGGUGUCCGGAUUUACUGGGUGUAAAGGGUGCGCAGGCGGAUGGGUAAGUCAGGGGUGAAAUCUCCGGGCUUAACCCGGAAACUGGCGUUGAUACUAUUUGUCUUGAAUAUUGUGGAGGUAAGCGGAAUAUGUCAUGUAGCGGUGAAAUGCUUAGAUAUGACAUAGAACACCAAUUGCGAAGGCAGCUUACUACACAAUCAUUGACGCUGAGGCACGAAAGCGUGGGGAUCAAACA